rnacentral:rRNA from 1 species
GAGGAAUAUUGGUCAAUGGGCGAGAGCCUGAACCAGCCAAGUCGCGUGAAGGAAGAAGGAUCUAUGGUUCGUAAACUUCUUUUGCAGGGGAAUAAAGUGCAGGACGUGUCCUGUUUUGUAUGUACCCUGAGAAUAAGGAUCGGCUAACUCCGUGCCAGCAGCCGCGGUAAUACGGAGGAUCCGAGCGUUAUCCGGAUUUAUUGGGUUUAAAGGGUGCGUAGGUGGUUUGAUAAGUCAGCGGUGAAAGUUUGCAGCUUAACUGUAAAAAUGCCGUUGAAACUGUCGGACUUGAGUGUAAAUGAGGUAGGCGGAAUGCGUGGUGUAGCGGUGAAAUGCAUAGAUAUCACGCAGAACUCCGAUUGCGAAGGCAGCUUACUAAGCUACAACUGACACUGAAGCACGAAAGCGUGGGGAUCAAACA